CGCGAGUCACGACACGUCACGUAUCCAUACUGUGCUACCAUUUAGAAUAUCUGCCGUGCCACCGUUCAGACUAUCUGCAAUAUACACUCGCAUCCACACCACGUAUGCAACAGCAAUGACAAGAAGAUCUUUCACACGAGUUUUAUGAACCAGCGACCGCUCUCUAUCACCGAGGCCCGCUAAGAACCCAAUGUAGCAACCAUUCGUCGGAGAACCCUAAUAUCAUCGGAUCCGACUGAGCGGAUUUAAGAACUAAUUUCGCGUGCACGCGCAUCUCAUAAGUCGGAAAACGGGAAAUGAGAAAACGCAGAUAGGUGACCUCGGCGAAGUCCCACUGGGAUAAGCCGGUGAGAUGGAGUUAAUGCGCGGUGAAGUACGUGACACUGUAGCGUGGCUUCACAUAGAUGACAACGCG